rnacentral:ncRNA from 1 species
AUUGGACUACGGUGCCAACUGCAUGCUAAUCCAAAAUUCAUAAAAAGUGUUGGUUAAUUAAGACGGCAUGAUGAAGUCGAAAUAUGCUAAGAUGUGUAUAACAAUUCACAUGCAAAAUCAACUAUCCGGAAAUGGACAGCGCUCAAGCGCAUCACCUAUAUCUGAU